GAAGCCUACGGGGGGCAGCAGUAGGGAAUAUUGCUCAAUGGGGGAAACCCUGAAGCAGCAACGCCGCGUGGAGGAUGAAGGUUUUCGGAUUGUAAACUCCUUUUGUUAGAGAAGAUAAUGACGGUAUCUAACGAAUAAGCACCGGCUAACUCCGUGCCAGCAGCCGCGGUAAUACGGAGGGUGCAAGCGUUACUCGGAAUCACUGGGCGUAAAGAGCGCGUAGGCGGGAUAGCAAGUCAGAUGUGAAAUCCUAUGGCUUAACCAUAGAACUGCAUUUGAAACUGGGAGACUUGAGUGCAGAAGAG
rnacentral:rRNA from 1 species